CAAUUCCUGAUACCAAAAAAAAAAUUGACUAACAAUGCAUUUCUCCAAAUGUAUCCUAUGGUUAAGUGCACAUGUCUGUAUAUGGAGACACUAAGGGUGAUGACAUUCGUGAGCUCAGUGGAAAAAUGGAUUUUUCAGGCAGCAGCCUGCUGAUAUCCCCUAGAAGUGGGAUCUGGACAAUAAGGCUUGGUUCCCCAAGGUCACUGAAGGUUGCAAUGCUACAUAUCAGGCCAAGUUAAGGCUUUUCAAAUGGUGGGACAUCUGGCUCUCCUGCAAAUGUACAAGAUAUCAAAGCCAGGAAUGCAGAGGAACUCCCACAAAGAAAACCCCAGAACC
rnacentral:lncRNA from 1 species